AGUGGCAAACGGGUGAGUAUAAUGUGGGAAUCUGCCUUUUGGUCUGGAAUAACACGAGGAAACUUGUGCUAAUACCGGAUAAGCCUUCACAGGGAAAGUUUUAAUGCCAAAAGAUGAGCCCGCACUUGAUUAGCUAGUUGGUAAGGUAAUAGCUUACCAAGGCAACGAUCAAUAGCUGUUCUUAGAGGAAGACCAGCCACAUUGGGACUGAGACACGGCCCAAACUCCUACGGGAGGCAGCAGUGGGGAAUCUUGCACAAUGGGGGAAACCCUGAUGCAGCGAUGCCGCGUGAGUGAAGAAGGCCUUUGGGUUGUAAAACUCUUUCGUCGGGGAAGAAAAUGACUGUACCCGAAUAAGAAGGUCCGGCUAACUUCGUGCCAGCAGCCGCGGUAAUACGAAGGGACCUAGCGUAGUUCGGAAUUACUGGGCUUAAAGAGUUCGUAGGUGGUUAAAAAAGUUGAUGGUGAAAUCCCAAGGCUCAACCUUGGAACUGCCAUCAAAACUUUUUAGCUAGAGUAUGAUAGAGGAAAGUGGAAUUUCUAGUGUAGAGGUGAAAUUCGUAGAUAUUAGAAAGAACAUCAAAAGCGAAGGCAACUUUCUGGAUCAUUACUGACACUGAGGAACGAAAGCAUGGGUAGCGAGAGGAUUAGAUACCCUCGUAGUCAUGCGA
rnacentral:rRNA from 1 species